GCUGCUCUUCUCAAUCCAGCAUAGCUAAUUUCUCAUCCUGACAGUAAAGGGCAUUUGCAUCACACACUGACAACAUGCUGGGGACCCUCUUCACUCUCAUCACUGCUCUGACAUAUGUAGAUGCAGUGAUUGUGGUGACACAGACGCCUGCCAUUCACACAGUUUCUACAGGACAACAGGUUGUUGUCAACUGCAACAUUGGGAGAUACGACACUGCCUCUGUAGCGUGGUACAAACAAGUUACUGGUGUGAGUGGAGUGACGGUGGUGACACAGAAGCCUCCUGUUAUGUCAAAGACGAGAGGAGAGACAGCCAGCAUGGACUGUAACCUGGGGACUGUUACCAAUAGUGUUGCUCGCUGGUAUAAACAGAUUCCAGGAGGAGUUCCUCAGUUUGUAUUAUAUUUUUACCAUAGUUCUAGCUCUCCAACCUAUGGCUCUGGUUUCUCCUCACCCAAGUUCACAUCUACUCAUCAGUCACAAUCAGAUUAUCGUUUGAUCAUCAACAAUGUGGAGGAGGGAGACUCAGCAGUCUAUUACUGCAAAACAUGGGACAGCUCUGUUAAAGAGUACGCAUCACAGUGAUUCAUGCCAUGACAAAAACCUUGUCACAAAUACUUCUGCUUUUUGAGACUCUGCACGUCAGCUGUUAACAGAGCCACCAGUCAAGCCAGACGUUCAUAUCAUGCCAUAUAAAUUUAGUGAGAUAUGGUGUAUUUCCUAUAAAUGGAACACAAAAUCUAAAAUUUCAGUUAGUUUCAAAUAUGAACAGCUCAAGGCAGAACAAUGUUUAGAGAGGUAAGUGGCACAUUUAGCAGAAUAUCAAUUAAAACAAGUUGUGCUGUUGAUGAUAUUAAUGAAAAGGAUGUCAACAGGAUUCCUAAAAGUAUAGGAAUGCAACUAAAAUUGCGCACACAAAUGUUACAUUGCAUUCUUUCAAAACUAAAAUAAAAAAAAAAUUAAAAUUGCUACAUUGACUUCAACAUCCAAACAUCGAUUUUCUUCUCGGAAAACUGAAACAAUAAGUAAACAUUUGCAUUCACAGCAUGUCUUUCAUAUGAUUCAAUCUUCUUUACUGGACACAUGAACUCCUGAUUUAACCCUUUCAUACUGUUUGGGUCAAAUUUGACCAGUUUUGACAAAUAACAUCAGUAAAAAUACCCUAAACGUCAUUCUUUUAGCCUGAAAUCUGAUGACGGUUUUUGGGAAUUUUGAAACUGUGAAACUGUACAGCCCAUGUUUGUGUGUAUUUUUUUAUGGGACAGAGUUCAAGGGGAACCUCAACACUGUCACAAGAACUGUCUGUGUUCCCACCACAUUAACCCAGGUUCCUGUAGAGACCUGCUGGACUUUGAAGGGGCAUUUGAGAAUCUCA